AGCCUCUACUGUAAACACAUUUCUUCUGAACUUUUAUUACAGGUAGACUUCAGUCGAGCUUCUUCGUAGUCGGAUCCCAGAUGAGCUUCUACAAUGGGACAGGAUCCACCGGCCAGGUCACUACUCCGAGCUCCCACGACAAUCGAUCUUCGACUGAGCUUCUACAAUAAGCGAUCUCCUUUCAACCUUCUACAAGAACUAGACUCUGUCCGAACUCCUAUAGUGGAUG
rnacentral:lncRNA from 1 species